UACGUAGGGUGCGAGCGUUGUCCGGAAUUAUUGGGCGUAAAGAGCUCGUAGGCGGUCUGUCGCGUCGUUCGUGAAAACUUGGGGCUUAACCCUGAGCUUGCGGUCGAUACGGGCAUGACUGGAGUUCGGCAGGGGAGACUGGAAUUCCUGGUGUAGCGGUGAAAUGCGCAGAUAUCAGGAGGAACACCGGUGGCGAAGGCGGGUCUCUGGGCCGGCACUGACGCUGAGGAGCGAAAGCGUGGGUAGCAAACAGG
rnacentral:rRNA from 1 species